rnacentral:rRNA from 1 species
GUGGGGAAUAUUGGACAAUGGGCGAAAGCCUGAUCCAGCCAUGCCGCGUGUGUGAAGAAGGUCUUCGGAUUGUAAAGCACUUUAAGUUGGGAGGAAGGGCAGUAAGUUAAUACCUUGCUGUUUUGACGUUACCAACAGAAUAAGCACCGGCUAACUUCGUGCCAGCAGCCGCGGUAAUACGAAGGGUGCAAGCGUUAAUCGGAAUUACUGGGCGUAAAGCGCGCGUAGGUGGUUCAGCAAGUUGGAGGUGAAAUCCCCGGGCUCAACCUGGGAACUGCCUCCAAAACUACUGAGCUAGAGUACGGUAGAGGGUAGUGGAAUUUCCUGUGUAGCGGUGAAAUGCGUAGAUAUAGGAAGGAACACCAGUGGCGAAGGCGACUACCUGGACUGAUACUGACACUGAGGUGCGAAAGCGUGGGGAGCAAACAGGAUUAGAUACCCCUGUGUCC